GAUGAACGCUAGCGGCAGGCUCAACACAUGCAAGUCGAGGGGUAUAGUUCUUCGGAACUAGAGACCGGCGCACGGGUGCGUAACGCGUAUGCAAUCUACCUUUUACAGGGGGAUAGCCCAGAGAAAUUUGGAUUAAUACCCCAUAGUAUGUUAGAGUGGCAUCAUUUUAACAUUAAAGUUCCAACGGUAAAAGAUGAGCAUGCGUCCCAUUAGCUAGAUGGUAAGGUAACGGCUUACCAUGGCGACGAUGGGUAGGGGUCCUGAGAGGGAGAUCACCCACACUGGUACUGCGACACGGACCAGGCUCCUACGGGAGGCAGCAGUGCGGAAGAUUGGACAAUGGGCGCAAGCCUGAUCCAGCCAUGCCGCGUGCAGGAAGACGGUCCUAUGGAUUGUAAACUGCUUUUGUACAGGAAGAAACACUCCCUCGUGAGGGAGCUUGACGGUACUGUAAGAAUAAGGAUCGGCUAACUCCGUGCCAGCAGCCGCUGUAACAC
rnacentral:rRNA from 1 species